GAUGAACGCUGGCGGCGUGCCUAAUACAUGCAAGUCGAGCGAACAGACGAGGCGCUUGCUCCUCUGACGUUAGCGGCGGACGGGUGAGUAACACGUGUAUAACCUCCCUAUAAGACUGGGAUCUCUUCGGGACACCGGAGCUAAUCCCGGAUAAUAUCUUGAACCGCAUGGUUCAAUAGUGAAAGACGGUUUUGCGGUAUCUUAUCGAUGGUUCCGCGCCGCAUUAGCUAGUUGGUAAGGUCACAGCCUUCCAAGGCAACGAUGCGUGGCCGACCGGAGGGGCGGGUAGGCCACAUGGGAGCGGGGCCACGGUCCUGAGGCCUACGAGAGGGAGCAGUCGGCAAUCGGACGCAACGGGCGAAAGCCUGACGGAGCAACGCCGAGUGAGUUAUGAAGGUGUUCGGAGCGGAAAACUGUGUUAUGAGGGAAGAACAAAUGUGUAAGUAAAUGUGCACGUCUUGACGGUACCGAAUCAGAAAGCCACGGCUAACUACGUG
rnacentral:rRNA from 1 species